AUAUAAUAUCAUACUCCCCUAACUUUUUUUAAGUAUACCUAGAUGUAAUUUUAUAUUCAAGAAAUCGCAUUAUAUUUACGCAAAACGUAAAUGUUAACCAAAUUAUUAUAAUAUUAAAUAAUGUUAAUCUGGAAUCUCGUAUUAGUUUUUGAAGAAUUCUAAAUUGAUUGUCCCAAAUAAAUAAUACAUUUUAUAUACGUCGUACAGUCUUCGUCAUUUUAUAUACCAUUGACAUGCAAAUGUAGUUGUAAUAGUUGUAUAAUUUUACAAUG